rnacentral:snRNA from 1 species
GUGCUCGCUUCGGCAGCACAUAUACUAAAAUUGGAACGAUACAGAGAAGAUUAGCUUGGCCCCUGCGCAAGGUUGACACAAAAUUCAUGAAGCAUUCCAUAUUUAA